rnacentral:rRNA from 1 species
UACGUAGGGGGCAAGCGUUGUCCGGAUUUAUUGGGCGUAAAGCGUGCGCAGGCGGUUUUGUAAGCCAGAUGUGAAAGCCCCGGGCUUAACCUGGGAAUGGCAUUUGGGACUGCAAGGCUGGAGUGUGGCAGAGGAGACUGGAAUUCCUGGUGUAGCAGUGAAAUGCGUAGAUAUCGUAAGGAAGACCAGUGGCGAAGGCGGGUCUCUGGACAGUUCCUGACGCUGAGGCACGAAGGCCAGGGGAGCAAACGGG